rnacentral:sRNA from 2 species
AAUGCGCGGGUCUUAGGGGAGUAGUCUGCGUCACGCGCAAUGCGUGUCGCGCCGCCGUCAACAUAAUUGGCACGCUGUGCCAUGGCGCCGGCAGCCGUUCUUCGGCCUGACGAGACCUAUGACGUCAUCCCUCACACCCGGGCUGGGCGGGGGGAUUGCGUCAUUGGUCCGUCCGUCCAGCCCGAGGAAUGCC